AUAUUAAGUAAAAUUUAAGACAAUUAAGUUAUAUUAAGACAAUGUCUUAAUCAUAAUAUAUAUUUUAUUUAUUUGAAUGGAAAGUUUUUUAGUUUGUUGUGGAACUAGACUAGAAAUUACCUAAUAAGCUUCUUAUAACUUGUGUAAUGUGUUUCUUUUACGAAUUUGUAUAUUGGUAUAAUCAUAUCAUGGUAUUCCUACAAUACUAUAACUAACACUGACUCUCAUAAGUUUGAGUCUCAAGUCACAAAAAAGGGCCAACUCUCACGUGUUAGCGGAAAGUUACCAAAAUAUGUUAAGGACUUAAUUCAGGGAUAAUGUUGCUAAACGAUUUACAGUCGAUAAUCUUUCGAAAGCAGAAAAACUCAGGUUAGCAUCAAAUAGAAAGUUAGCGCAAUUUCUGGUAUUUGUGUGUCAAACAAAGAAUACGCGAAUUAUUUGAGAUAUGAUUGAAAUUUGCAAAGAAAGUAAAAAUCAAAGUAGUUUCAUUCUAAGUUAUUGUACAUAAUUUUAAAAUUUUUGGAAUAGAAGUGAUGCAAUGUUUAUUUA